GACGAACGCUGGCGGCGUGCUUAACACAUGCAAGUCGAACGGAAAGGCCCGGCUUUGGUGGGGUCGGCGAGUGGCGAACGGGUGAGUAACACGUGAGUAACCUGCCCUUGACUUUGGGAGAACUUCAGGAAACUGGGGCUAAUACCGCAUAGGAGCUACUGCUGCAUGGUGGGCGUGGGAAAGUUUCGCCUGUUGGGAAUGGACUCGCGGCCCAUCAGCUUGUUGGUUGGGUAGUGUCUUACCAAGGCCAGGAAGGGUAGCAGGGCUGGGAGGGUGACAGGAUCCGUUAGGACUGGAAUACGACACGGCCCAGACUGGGACGCGGCGGUGCAGAAUGGUGUAUAAGAGGAGGAAGGAUGAUGCAGCCACGCAACGUCGGGGAAGUGAGGCAUCGCGUUGUAAUGCGAUUUCGCCUGUGACGAAGCGUGAAUGACAGUAAUGGGUGAAGAAGCACCGGCUAACUACGUG
rnacentral:rRNA from 1 species